rnacentral:rRNA from 1 species
GAUGAACGCUGGCGGCGUGCCUAAUACAUGCAAGUCGAGCGAACAGACGAGGAGCUUGCUCCUCUGACGUUAGCGGCGGACGGGUGAGUAACACGUGGAUAACCUACCUAUAAGACUGGGAUAACUUCGGGAAACCGGAGCUAAUACCGGAUAAUAUAUUGAACCGCAUGGUUCAAUAGUGAAAGACGGUUUUGCUGUCACUUAUAGAUGGAUCCGCGCCGCAUUAGCUAGUUGGUAAGGUAACGGCUUACCAAGGCGACGAUGCGUAGCCGACCUGAGAGGGUGAUCGGCCACACUGGAACUGAGACACGGUCCAGACUCCUACGGGAGGCAGCAGUAGGGAAUCUUCCGCAAUGGGCGAAAGCCUGACGGAGCAACGCCGCGUGAGUGAUGAAGGUCUUCGGAUCGUAAAACUCUGUUAUUAGGGAAGAACAAAUGUGUAAGUAACUAUGCACGUCUUGACGGUACCUAAGCAGAAAGCCACGGCUAACUACGU